rnacentral:rRNA from 1 species
UACGUAGGGGGCAAGCGUUGUCCGGAAUUAUUGGGCGUAAAGAGCGUGUAGGCGGCCAGAUAAGUCCGCUGUGAAAUCUCGAGGCUCAACUUCGAGCUGUCGGUGGAAACUAUCUGGCUAGAGUCCGGAAGAGGAGAAUGGAAUUCCUGGUGUAGCGGUGAAAUGCGCAGAUAUCAGGAAGAACACCCGUGGCGAAGGCGGUUCUCUGGGACGGUACUGACGCUGAGACGCGAAAAGCGUGGGGAGCGAACAGG